UACGAAGGGGGCUAGCGUUGUUCGGAAUUACUGGGCGUAAAGCGUAUGCAGGCGGAUCGUUAAGUCGGGGGUGAAAUCCCGAGGCUCAACCUCGGAACUGCCUUCGAUACUGGCGACCUUCGAGUCCGGGAGAGGUGAGUGGAACUCCGAGUGUAGAGGUGAAAUUCGUAGAUAUUCGGAAGAACACCAGUGGCGAAGGCGGCUCACUGGCCCGGUACUGACGCUGAGACGCGAAAGCGUGGGGAGCAAACAGG
rnacentral:rRNA from 1 species